AUUUUCUUUUCUUUUUCCUCGUCGUCGUACCGUGCCCGAUCUCCUCCUCUCGAUCCCCUCUGCGCAGAACCGCCUUCUCCUCUUCCCCUUUUUCUGCCGCGACGACGAAGCCUCCUACUCUUCCCCAAGCCCGAUCCUCUUCCCCUGCUUCCGUGCCCUAGCCCUCUUCUCGGCCCCGUCUCCUUCUCCUCCUCUACUCGUCGCCGCUUCUUCUUUUUUGCUUCUGUUUUCUUCCUCCGAUCGUCGAGCAGAGCGGCAGAGCCGCCUUCUCUCAGCCCUAGCGUCGGAGCAGAUCCAGCACGCUCUUCUUGAGCGUGCCCUAGAAUGGAUCCACUGCCCCUCUUCCAAUCUGAAACCGUGCCCUAGUUUAGCAUCGCCGACGACUACUUUCCUGUCUAGCCGAUUGUUGAAGCCACUUCCACAGAGUGCUCAGCGCAUCCUUCCCCUGUGUCAUAGCGUCGAUCCACAUCUUGCAGUAGGGAUUCAUCGACAAAGAAGGAGGAAAGGGUUGAAUUGGAGAACUGGAUUUGGAGAUCAGCAACUUUCCCUUGCCCAACUACAAUUUCCGACAAUGGGUUGAUACAAGAGCAAACGGAGUUAGGUAAAGAUCCUUGUUAACUUCAACAGCAAUGUGGAUUUAGGUAAAUUAUUGUUAGAAUUCCUAACUAGUUGAAUUUGGGAUCGUUUUGUAAAUGUUAGUGGAGGGUUGAGUGUAGUUGCUUGGUUCCAGCUUUGGACCCAGCCGUUAUAGCUCCGGUUGUGAGCAACAGCACGAACGGAUUUUUGGUUUGAGGCCGUUAGGAGAUUCAUGUUGCUAAUCCCCACUUCGUGUCGCGACAAUUUUCUGCUUACGGACUUGGUUCCUUAUUUUUGUGAUGAUCUACUUGUUGAUCUAUGUACUUGUGAUUGUACUCGAGGAUUUUCAUUGAGUUUUGGUCUACUACACUUAUUUUUCCAUUGCGUUGAUUUCUCUGUUGUGUUAUGCGUUUUUCGUCGUAGUAGUGGAGUAGGGCUUAUUUAAAUAUAAACUGUGUGGUUGUGUCAGCCAGAGGCUGAAAUAUAUAAACUGCGUGGAUUGUUA